CAGUCGCCACGGUAAUACGAGGGGGGCAAGCGUUGUUCGGAUUUAUUGGGCGUAAAGGGUGCGUAGGCGGUUUGGCAAGUCCUGUGUGAAAUCUUCGGGCUCAACCCGAAGCCUGCACGAGAAACUACCGGGCUUGAGUAUUGGAGAGAUGAGUGGAAUUCCCGGUGUAGCGGUGAAAUGCGUAGAUAUCGGAAGGAACACCUGUGGCGAAAGCGGCUCACUGGACAUUUACUGACGCUGAUGCACGAAAGCUAGGGGAGCAAACAGGAUUAGAUACCCGCGUAGUCCCUGUCUCUUAUAC
rnacentral:rRNA from 1 species